AUUGAACGCUGGCGGCAGGCCUAACACAUGCAAGUCGAACGAGUGGCGGACGGGUGAGUAAUGUCUGGGAAACUGCCCGAUGGAGGGGGAUAACUACUGGAAACAGUAGCUAAUACCGCAUACCAUCGGAUGUGCCCAGAUGGGCGUAGCUUGGAGGUGGGGUAACGGCUCACCUAGGCGACGAUCCCUAGCUGGUCUGAGAGGAUGACCAGCCACACUGGAAAUGAGACACGGUCCAGACUCCUACGGGAGGCAGCAGGGGGGAAGAGUGCACAAUGGGCGCAAGCCUGAUGCAGCCAUGCCGCGUGUAUGAAGAAGGCCUUCGGGUUGUAAAGUACUUUCAGCGAGGAGGCGUUACUCGCAGAAGAAGCACCGGCUAACUCCGUGCCAGCAGCCGCGGUAAUAC
rnacentral:rRNA from 1 species